UGGGGAAUCUUGCACAAUGGGGGCAACCCUGAUGCAGCGACGCCGCGUGAGCGAUGAAGCCCUUCGGGGCGUAAAGCUCCUUCGACCGGAACGAUAAUGACGGUACCGGGAGAAGAAGCUGCGGCUAGCUACGUGCCAGCAGCCGCGGUAAUACGUAGGCAGCAAGCGUUGUUCGGAGUUACUGGGCGUAAAGAGUGCGUAGGCGGUUUUCUAAGUUCGGUGUGAAAUCUCCCGGCUUAAAUGGGAGGGUGCGCCGAAGACUGGGAAGCUGGAGUGUGGGAAAGGCAGGCGGAAUUCCUGGUGUAGCGGUGAAAUGCGUAGAUAUCAGGAGGAACACCGGCGGUGUAGACGGCUUGCUAGACCAUAACUGACGCUGAGGCACGAAAGCGUGGGUAGCAAACA
rnacentral:rRNA from 1 species